rnacentral:rRNA from 1 species
AUGUAAAUACCUACAACAUAGCUUGAAUGCACUAGAUCCCAUUAGAACUCCACAGUUAAGCAUGCUUGAGUUAGAGUAUUACUGGGAUGGCUGACUGCUAAGGAAGUCCUAGUGUUUUACAUG